rnacentral:tRNA from 1 species
GGAGAGGUGGCCGAGUGGUUGAAGGCGACGGUCUCGAAAACCGUUGUACCGGGUUCCUGGUACCCAGGGUUCGAAUCCCUGCCUCUCCG